rnacentral:rRNA from 1 species
CCUACGUGAGGCAGCAGUGAGGAAUAUUGGUCAAUGGGCUUACGCCUGAACCAGCCAAGUCGCGUGAGGGAAGACUGCCCUAUGGGUUGUAAACCUCUUUUGUCAGGGAGCAACGCCGGCUACGUGUAGCCGGACUGAGAGUACCUGAAGAAAAAGCAUCGGCUAACUCCGUGCCAGCAGCCGCGGUAAUACGGAGGAUGCGAGCGUUAUCCGGAUUUAUUGGGUUUAAAGGGUGCGUAGGCGGAAUGCCAAGUCAGCGGUAAAAUCGCGGGGCUCAACCUCGCUCCGCCGUUGAAACUGGCGUUCUUGAGUGGGCGAGAAGUAUGCGGAAGGCGUGGUGUAGCGGUGAAAUGCAUAGAUAUCACGCAGAACUCCGAUUGCGAAGGCAGCAUACCGGCGCCCAACUGACGCUGAAGCACGAAAGCGUGGGUAUCGAACAGGAUUAGAUACCCCAGUAGUC